rnacentral:rRNA from 1 species
UUGGAGGGCAAGUCUGGUGCCAGCAGCCGCGGUAAUUCCAGCUCCAAUAGCGUAUAUUAAAGUUGUUGCAGUUAAAAAGCUCGUAGUUGAAUUUCGGGAUUGACGUGAUGGUCAUGCCUUAAGGGGUAUGAACUGUCACUGUUGAUUUCUCACCUUCUGGAGAAACUUGAUGUCCUUUAUUGGGUGUCUUGCGGAUCCAGGACCUUUACCUUGAAAAAAUUAGAGUGUUUAAAGCAGGCAUUUUUGCUCGAAUACAUUAGCAUGGAAUAAUAGAAUAGGACGGCAUGGUUCUAUUUUGUUGGUUUCUAGGAUCACCGUAAUGAUUAAUAGGGAUAGUUGGGGGCAUUAGUAUUCAAUUGUCAGAGGUGAAAUUCUUGGAUUUAUUGAAGACUAACUACUGCGAAAGCAUUUGCCAAGGAUGUUUUCAUUAAUCAAGAACGAAAGUUAGGGGAUCGAAGACGAUCAGAUACCGUCGUAGUCUUAACCAUAAACUAUGCCGACUAGGAAUCAGACGAUGUUAAUUUUUUAAUGACUCGUUCGGCGCCUUACGGGAAAC